rnacentral:lncRNA from 1 species
ACAAAGUAACAUAUCAAAACUUAGGGAAUCGUAUUAAGUCCCGAAGAAAAGAGACUGGUUGCGAAAACAGGGUUAACGUUUCAUGUUAUGCACGAAUCAACCGCCAUGCGAAUUUAAGCAGCGUCAUAGGUAAAAAUAUAAAUGGAAAUCAAAUGCAAUAAUAUUGAUAUGUUGUCUGAAACGUAAAAAGUAAAAUCACGAA